ensembl:lncRNA
CAGAUUCUUCCAGUGAUCCCUACAGUACUGACUAGAUUCUCUUCAGCCAUGCCAUCCUAUAGCAUGUGUUCCUGGGUCCUGCUGUUAUCUGUGCUGAAGGUCAUAACCGUUCCUGUAUCGACCUUCUCUUCAGUAAAGGUGAAUCUUCAUGACAAUGCUACUCUCCCCUGCACUCAGACAUGUUCUGGUCUGGUCACAUGGACUGUGUCCCAUAAACAACUUGACAUUCUGGCUCAGUGUAACCAGACAUCCUGUCAGUCAAAGGAGGGAUUUCACAUGUCACAUGAUCAGUACCUGAAGGGAGAUCUCUCCCUCACCAUCACUGAUGUUGAUUACACUAAGAGGACCUGGUACACCUGUGAGUGUGAUGGUGUAGUCAUCUAUGAUGUGAGUCUAUGGAUAGAGGGUAAGGUUUGUUCUCUCAGUCUUUGCUAA